rnacentral:rRNA from 1 species
AUUGAACGCUGGCGGCAGGCUUAACACAUGCAAGUCGAGCGGAGAGAAGUAGCUUGCUACUGAUCUUAGCGGCGGACGGGUGAGUAAUGCUUAGGAAUCUGCCUAUUAGUGGGGGACAACAUUUCGAAAGGAAUGCUAAUACCGCAUACGUCCUACGGGAGAAAGCAGGGGAUCUUCGGACCUUGCGCUAAUAGAUGAGCCUAAGUCGGAUUAGCUAGUUGGUGGGGUAAAGGCCUACCAAGGCGACGAUCUGUAGCGGGUCUGAGAGGAUGAUCCGCCACACUGGGACUGAGACACGGCCCAGACUCCUACGGGAGGCAGCAGUGGGGAAUAUUGGACAAUGGGCGGAAGCCUGAUCCAGCCAUGCCGCGUGUGUGAAGAAGGCCUUAGGGUUGUAAAGCACUUUAAGCGAGGAGGAGGCUACUUUAGUUAAUACCUAGAGAUAGUGGACGUUACUCGCAGAAUAAGCACCGGCUAACUCUGUGCCAGCCGCCGCGGUAA